rnacentral:rRNA from 1 species
CUACGGGUGGCAGCAGUGGGGAAUAUUGGACAAUGGGGGAAACCCUGAUCCAGCAAUGCCGCGUGUGUGAAGAAGGCCUGCGGGUUGUAAAGCACUUUCGGUUGGGAGGACUGCUUCUAGCACUAAUAUUGUUGGAAGUUGACGUUACCUUCAGAAGAAGCACCGGCUAACUCCGUGCCAGCAGCCGCGGUAAUACGGAGGGUGCAAGCGGUAAUCGGAAUUACUGGGCGUAAAGCGCGCGUAGGCGGCUAGAUCAGUCGGGUGUGAAAGCCCCGGGCUUAACCUGGGAACUGCAUCCGAUACUGUAUAGCUUGAGUACAGGAGAGGAGAGUGGAAUUCCACAUGUAGCGGUGAAAUGCGUAGAUAUGUGGAGGAACACCAAUGGCGAAGGCAGCUCUCUGGCCCGAUACUGACGCUGAGGUGCGAAAGCGUGGGGAGCAAACAGGAUUAGAUACCCCAGUAGUC